UGGCGGCGUGCUUGACACAUGCAAGUCGAACGGAACUCUUUGGAUCGAGACUUCGGUCAAGUGAAUCUGAGUUUAGUGGCGGACGGGUGAGUAACGCGUGAGGAACCUGCCUUUCAGAGGGGACAACAGUUGGAAACGACUGCUAAUACCGCAUAACGCAUAUUGAUCGCAUGGUCGAUAUGCCAAAGAUUUAUCGCUGAAAGAUGGCCUCGCGUCUGAUUAGCUAGUUGGUGAGGUAACGGCCCACCAAGGCGACGAUCAGUAGCCGGACUGAGAGGUUGACCGGCCACAUUGGGACUGAGAUACGGCCCAGACUCCUACGGGAGGCAGCAGUGGGGAAUAUUGGGCAAUGGGCGCAAGCCUGACCCAGCAACGCCGCGUGAAGGAAGAAGGCUUUCGGGUUGUAAACUUCUUUUGUCAGGGAAGAGUAGAAGACUGUACCUGGCGAAUAAGCCACGGCUAACUACGUG
rnacentral:rRNA from 1 species